rnacentral:rRNA from 1 species
AUUGAACGCUGGCGGCAGACCUAACACAUGCAAGUCGAACGAGUGGCGGACGGGUGCGUAAUGUCUGGGAAACUGCCUGAUGGAGGGGGAUAACUACUGGAAACGGUAGCUAAUACCGCAUACGCUCGGAUGGGCCCAGAUGGGAUUAGCUGGUAGGUGGGGGAAAGGCUCACCUAGGCGACGAUCCCUAGCUGGUCUGAGAGGAUGAACAGCCAAACUGGAACUGAGUCACGGUCCAGACCCCUACGGGAGGCAGAAGUGGGGAAUAUUGCACAAUGGGCGCAAGCCUAAUGCAGCCAUGCCGCGUGUAUGAAGAAGGCCUUCGGGUUGUAAAGUACUUUCAGCGGGGAGGCGUUACCCGAAGAAGAAGCACCGGCUAACUCCGUGCCAGCAGCCGCGGUAAUUC